AACUGAUACUACCUGCGGGAACCUGCGGAAGGAUCAUUACUGAGGAGGGUCCAUGGCCCGAUCUCCAACCCUUUGAUAAAAACACCAUGUUGCUUUGGCAGGCCCGCCCGUUGGGGCCGCGGGGGAUCGCCGGUCCCUAGCCCGUGCCUGCCGGUAGCCUUCACAAAACUCUCAAAAUGUUGUCGUCUGAGAUGAUUAGAAUAAUAAAACUUUUAACAACGGAUCUCUAGAUCGGAAGAG
rnacentral:misc_RNA from 1 species